GUCCGGCAGCGGUGGUGAGAUCAGAGCAGUAGGCGACCGACUGGGCUUAGGUGUGGCCUGUGGGCUGGAGGCCGGUGGCGCUGGGCUAGAGGCAGCGAUGCCGGGAACUGAAGGCAGGCUGCUGCUGGGUUGUGCAGGUCGGGUCGGAGUGUGAGAAGCAGGUGCAGAUCGGAUCGCCGAAAAAACCUGCUGGUCGUCUGAAGAUGAAUGCCGGUGAGGUCGAGAUCGAGAUCGGGUCUGGUUCUGGACGUGGUCGAUCUGCUGCUGCUGGGAAGAGAUUUUUUUUAAUUAUUUUUUUUUGGUUGUUGGUGGCGGCAGAAACAGAAGAAAAUAUUGUUUUCUUCUAGGGUUUGUUUCUUUUCGUUUAGAAAGAAAACUAGAAAAUUAAGAUUUUUUUUUUUUU